GUUCGUUGUGUGAAGGGCGCAUGGUGGAUGCCUUGGUAUUGUGUGCCGAUGAAGGACGUGUCAGGCUGCGUUAAGCCUCGGGGAGUUGUCAAGUAAGCGUUGAUCCGAGGAUGUCCGAAUGGGGAAACCUGCCACUCGUUGUGGGGUGGUACCUGCCCAUGAAUUCAUAGUGGGUGUGGGGGUUACGCGGGGAAGUGAAACAUCUCAGUACCCGUAGGAGAGGAAAAUAAUAAUGAUUCUGCUAGUAGCGGCGAGCGAACGUGGAUGAGGCUAAACCGUGUGUGUGUGAUACUUGGUAGGGGUUGCGCAUGCGGUGUUGUGGGGUUGCAACGUGGAAGUGUCUACCAGUGCUUCGUUGUGGUGUGUGUGUUAGCUGAAUUGGCUUGGAAUGGUCAACCGGAGUGGGUGAGAGUCCUGUAGGUGAAGGUGCACAUGUCAUGAUUGUUGUUGUCCCCGAGUAGCAACGGGCUCGUGGAAUCUGUUGUGAAUCUGCCGGGACCACCCGGUAAGCCUAAAUACGUGCAAUAACCGAUAGUGUAUUUGAGUACCGUGAGGGAAUGGUGAAAAGUACCCCGGGAGGGGAGUGAAAUAGUUCCUGAAACCAUGUGCUUACAAUCCGUCAGAGCACCUGGAUGUGUGUGAUGGCGUGCCUUUUGAAGAAUGAGCCUGCGAGUCAGCGGCAUGUCGCGAGGUUAACCCGUGUGGGGUAGCCGUAGGGAAACCGAAUCCUAAUGGGGUGUUUUUAGUGGCAUGUCCUGGACCCGAAGCGGGGUGAUCUACCCAUGGCCAGUGUGAAGCAGCUGUAAGAGGUUGUGGAGGCGCGAACCCACGUAGGUUGAAAACUGCGGGGAUGAGUUGUGGGUAGGGGUGAAAGGCCAAUCAAACUCCGUGAUAGCUGGUUCUCCCCGAAAUGCAUUUAGGUGCAGCGUUACGUUAAAAAGCCUAGUGGAGGUAGAGCUACUGGUUGGUUGAGCGGGACUACAAUCUUAGCAACAUCAGCCAAACUCCGAAUGCCGCUAGUGUGUGCGUGGCAGUGAGACUGUGGGGGAUAAGCUUCAUAGUCGAGAGGGAAACAGCCCAGAUCGCCGGUUAAGGCCCCUAAGGGUAUGCUAAGUGGAAAAGGAUGUGGGAUCGCGAAGACAGCCAGGAGGUUGGCUUAGAAGCAGCCAUCCUUGAAAGAGUGCGUAAUAGCUCACUGGUCGAGUGGUUCUGCGCCGACAAUGUAGUGGGGCUCAAGCAUACCGCCGAAGCCGCGGCAACAUUUUUUGUUGGGUAGGGGAGCGUCGUGCACGUGGUGAAGCAGUAUCGUAAGGCGCUGUGGAGUGUGUGCGAGUGAGAAUGCAGGCAUGAGUAACGAAUUGGUAGGUGAGAAUCCUACCCGCCGGAUGACUAAGGGUUCCUGGGUCAAGUUCGUCUUCCCAGGGUGAGUCGGGACCUAAGGCGAGGCCGACAGGCGUAGUCGAUGGAUAACCAGUUGAUAUUCUGGUACCCGUAUAUCCGCGCCCAAUGGUAAAGCAGUGAUACUAACCACCCGCAUCGCCAUGUACGUGCCCUUUCGGGGGUGUGUCGUGGUUGGUGCGCGUGGGGCCUGAACUGUGGUCCAAGCGAUGGGGUGACACAGGUUGGUAGCCAUGCCACUUAUUGGAUUGUUGGUGUAAGCGUGCAGACUGUGGUGUAGGUUAAAUCCGCACUGCGUGAUGGUCGAGGCGUGAUGCGUAGCCCGUUGUGGGUGAAGUUGGUGAUCCUGUACUGUCGAGAAAAGCCUCUAGUGAGUGGGUGUACGGCCCGUACCCUAAACCGACACAGGUGGUCAGGUUGAGUAUACUAAGGCGUUCGGGUGAACUGUGGUUAAGGAAUUCGGCAAAAUGCCCCCGUAACUUCGGGAGAAGGGGGGCCACUGCUGGUGCUGCAUCCUUAUGCGGUGUGUGUGCUGGUGGUGGUCGCAGAGAAUAGAGGGGUCCGACUGUUUAUCAAAAACACAGGUCCAUGCGAAGACGUGAAGUUGAUGUAUAUGGACUGACGCCUGCCCGGUGCUGGAAGGUUAAGAGGACCUGUUAGGAGCCUUUGUGGUUCCGAAGCGGAGAAUUUAAGCCCCAGUAAACGGCGGUGGUAACUAUAACCAUCCUAAGGUAGCGAAAUUCCUUGUCGGGUAAGUUCCGACCUGCACGAAUGGCGUAACGAGACCUCUGCUGUCUCAACCACAGGCCCGGUGAAAUUGCAUUACGAGUAAAGAUGCUCGUUACGCGCGGCAGGACGAAAAGACCCCGGGACCUUCACUAUAGCUUGGUAUUGGUAUUUACUAUCGUUUGUGUAGGAUAGGUGGGAGACUGUGAGACCGUCACGCUAGUGGUGGUGGAGUCGUUGGUGAAAUACCACUCUGAUGGUAGUGGAUGCCUGAACCUUGGCCCAUGAUCUGGGUUGGGGACAGUGCCUGGUGGGUAGUUUAACUGGGGCGGUUGCCUCCCAAAAUGUAACGGAGGCGCCCAAAGGUUCCCUCAGCCUGGUUGGCAAUCAGGUGGUGAGUGUAAGUGCACAAGGGAGCUUGACUGUGAGAGUGACGGCUCGAGCAGGGACGAAAGUCGGGACUAGUGAUCCGGCACCUACUUGUGGAUGUGGUGUCGCUCAACGGAUAAAAGGUACCCCGGGGAUAACAGGCUGAUCUUCCCCAAGAGUCCAUAUCGACGGGAUGGUUUGGCACCUCGAUGUCGGCUCGUCGCAUCCUGGGGCUGGAGUAGGUCCCAAGGG
rnacentral:rRNA from 1 species